rnacentral:lncRNA from 1 species
GGGUUUCACAUAUUUCAACAAUUAUGUGUUCUAAGGUUAACUUCCUCGCCUGUUCCAUUUUGACAUUGUAAUAGGCCAAUUCUGCCUGACCCACUAAACAAAUAAAACCCAAAUAAGAGUCCGAUAAACAAUCCAUUACAAAUAUCAGACCCAAAAAAAAUUUACAAGUGGCCCCUAUUUACAAUGGCCCAAACAACCCAAACCUAAAAAGCCCAAUAGGCCCAAAUCCCAACAGAAACCUUAAUCUAGCCCUAGUGCCGCACCCUAUCAUCGUCGCCGCUCUGCCAUCAACUGCUCUAUUGCUCCUCAACCACCCUUGCAGAGAAGAAC